rnacentral:rRNA from 1 species
CGCGUAGGCGGGCCGGCCAGUCUGUGGUGAAGUCCUCCAGCUCAACUGGAGAACAGCCUCGGAUACUGCCGGUCUUGAGGAAGAUAGGGGUGUGUGGAACGGGUGGUGGAGCGGUGAAAUGCGUUGAUAUCAUCCGGAACUCCGGUGGCGAAGGCGACACACUGGAUCUUUUCUGACGCUGAGGCGCGAAAGCUAGGGAGCAAACG